GUUCCAACUCUCACGACUAGUUUCUACCGCUAACAGGUUUUAAAAAUGUUUUACAGUUGCCCUAAUCCAGUAGACAAGUCCAUAGGCGUAGUGAACAAUGGUCUGGGGGUGUCCAGCUAUUUCUACUUCAGCAUGUUUCAGUUUAGUGAGAGAACGGGAGAGGUCUACCUGCAUUGUAAAACCAUGCUGUGUGUCAAAGAGGAGGACUCUUGUGCCCCGAAAUGUGGCCAGAGCAGCAGGAGCCACAGGGGCCGCAGAUCUGCCAUGUCCAUGUAUAUGGAGCAAAACCCAACUGUGAUUACUAUGGCAUGGAGUCAUUAGGUGGUUUCCAUGGUAAAGGUCAACAGAAGAUGGUGCUGAGUCAGAGGGUUUAGGCCUUCAUUCAGCACAUCAUUCUUCAUAUCUGUUCUUCCUAAGAUGGUUUGUGGGGCUUUGAACAGUAUUUUAUGAUAGCAUUAAGUGUUGUUCAGCAUAUAUAUUCUGGGACUAUAGUAAAACAAAAAAAGUCAGCAGUGGUGACAGAGAUGUAUUCGAUAAGAGCAGUACUUCUACAGUAGUAGCCUACACAAUGUUUAAACUGACACACACUGACACUCUAUUGUUCUUUUGGUGAUUUGAAUAAAGCAUAUUAAACAUUAUGAUAUUGUGGCU
rnacentral:lncRNA from 1 species